rnacentral:rRNA from 1 species
UACGGAGGGUGCAAGCGUUAUCCGGAUUCACUGGGUUUAAAGGGUGUGUAGGCGGAUACUUAAGUCAGUGGUGAAAUCUCCGGGCUCAACCCGGAAACUGCCAUUGAUACUAUAUAUCUUGAAUUCUGUUGAGGUGGGCGGAAUACAUCAUGUAGCGGUGAAAUGCUUAGAUAUGAUGUAGAACACCGAUUGCGAAGGCAGCUCACUAAACAGACAUUGACGCUGAGGCACGAAAGCGUGGGGAUCAAACAGGAUUAGAUACCCUGGUAGUCCACGCCCUAAACGAUGACUACUCGACAUACGCGAUACACAGUGUGUGUCUGAGCGAAAGCAUUAAGUAAUCCACCUGGGAAGUACGAUCGCAAGAUUGAA